rnacentral:rRNA from 1 species
CUUAGAAGCAGCCACACAUUCAAAGAGUGCGUAAUAGCUCACUAGUCGAGAGGUCCUGCGCCGAAAAUUUCCGGGGCUAAAACACGAUACCGAAGCUUAGGAAUGUAGCAAUACAUUGGUAGAGGAGCAAUCUCAGAGUGCCGAAGCGCUACCGCAAGGAAGCGUGGAGUUCUGAGAAGAGAGAAUGCCGGAAUGAGUAGCGAGAAUGAUGUGAGAAUCAUCAUGGCCGAAUAUCCAAGGAUUCCAGGGUAAAGCUGAUCUGCCCUGGGUAAGUCGGGACCUAAGGCGAGGGAGAGAUCCGUAGUCGAUGGACAGCAGGUUCAUAUUCCUGCACCUGACAUGAUCAGAACUGUGGGGACACAGGAACAAAACCGGACCCGGGAGAGCAAAGACCGGGCGAAGCGAAGUUAGGAGUGCGGUAGGCAAAUCCGCCGCACAAUCCGAAAGCGUGACAGGGAGCGAAAUAUAAGUAGCGAAGCCGGUGGAGGGACUGUCGAGAAAAGCCGCUAUUGUAUCAUGUCAGCCCGUACCGCAAACCGACACAGGUGGAUGAGGAGAGAAUCCUAAGGCCGGCGGGAGAAGCAUUGUUAAGGAACUCGGCAAAAUGACCCCGUAACUUCGGGAGAAGGGGUGCUGCAGAGAUGCAGCCGCAGAGAAAAGGCUCAAGCAACUGUUUAGCAAAAACACAGGUCUAUGCGAAACCGUAAGGUGAGGUAUAUGGGCUGACGCCUGCCCGGUGCUGGAAGGUUAAGAGGAGAGGUUAGCGAAAGCGAAGCUUUGAAUUUAAGCCCCAGUAAACGGCGGCCGUAACUAUAACGGUCCUAAGGUAGCGAAAUUCCUUGUCGGGUAAGUUCCGACCCGCACGAAAGGCGUAAUGAUUUGAGCGCUGUCUCAACAAUGCACCCGGUGAAAUUGAAGUACCAGUGAAGAUGCUGGUGACCUGCGCCAGGACGGAAAGACCCCAUGGAGCUUUACUCCAGCUUGAUACCGGGAUUCGGUGUUACUCGUACAGGAUAGGUGGGAGGCUAAGAAGGAAGGACGCCAGUCUUUCCGGAGCCGCUGUUGGGAUACCACCCCUGUGGCACUGGAUUUCUAACCUACAUCCGUGAUCCGGAUGGGGGACAAUGUCAGGUGGGGAGUUUGACUGGGGCGGUCGCCUCCGAAAGUGUAUCGGAGGCGCUCAAAGGUUCCCUCAGAAUGGUUGGAAACCAUUCGAAGAGCGCAAAGGCAGAAGGGAGCUUGACUGCGACACCGACGGGUGGAGCAGGUACGAAAGUAGGACUUAGUGAUCCGGUGGUAUAAAGUGGGAUUGCCAUCGCUCAACGGAUAAAAGCUACCCUGGGGAUAACAGGCUUAUCACUCCCAAGAGUUCACAUCGACGGAGUGGUUUGGCACCUCGAUGUCGGCUCAUCGCAUCCUGGGGCUGAAGUCGGUCCCAAGGGUUGGGCUGUUCGCCCAUUAAAGCGGUACGCGAGCUGGGUU